GAACCACUGGGUAUUGCUCAAACUUUUCUGGUCUCUCAGUCGCUGCUCCAGAAAACUUGCAUUCAGUACAACUGGACUCUGCAAGCACUGAUAUACAACUCCAUGGUGUUAUUUGGGAACUGGUCAGACUGUUGAGAAACCCAUGGUUGGGUGUUUCGUAUCAUGGGAAGCUUCAUACAAGCUACACUAGGCCUGAUGGGAUAAAGGGAUGUUCAGUUGAUGUUUUCAAAUCUGCAAUAAGCUUGUUGCCUUACCCUGUGGGAUGCAUUUUUUUUAUUUCGAGAUGGAUUGGAAAAUCCGAGAUACAGUGACCUUGUACAAAAGGUGUCCAAAAAUGUGAGUAACAUGUCCAUAUCAUCGAGUCUGAAAAACUACUGCACAAUCUUUAUUUUGAUUUUAUUUAUCAGUGAUACAGGUAUAUAUAGAUGCUUUGUUCUACCCUCAACUUCAGCUUCUCUUUGCUUUUUAGUUGGUUAUAUCAUCUAGCAAUGUGUGCUUAGUUGUUUGGUUUGCAACGUGUGCUUAGUUGUUUGGUUGCAAUCUUUUAUCCGCUUCUCUGAAUUGAUAAUGACAAGUUAUGUUCACCGCACCUCUGCCGCCACCGUCGAUGCCGCUUCCAUGAUGGUAGGGAAGGCGCUGGGGUGUGGGAGCUACUUUCUCAGCCUUGCUGGGUCGACGGCGACAGAGUUAAUUUAGAGCACUAUGUGUAUUUCUUAUUAUCUUAUGAAACUUCUGACCAACACGGUAUCUGACACCGAGAGUUUCACAUUAUUCACAAUCUUCAAAUGUUGUGAUGUGGUCUUUGCAGAUCAUUAACUUUUGGUGUGUUCAUUUGUAUCAAGUGUUCUGGAGCUCAUACAAGCCUGGGGUGCACAUUUCCAAGGUUGACGCGAUCAAGUUUAUUUGUAAUAAGCAAAGAUAAUCAGAAGGAUACGGAUUUGUAGAGUUCUACAGUCAUGCUGCAACUGAAAAAGUAGUUGAUGUUUUUGCUGGGCAUAUAAUGCCAAGUACUAAUCAACUUUUUAGGAUAAGCUGGGCAUCAUUUAGCAUGGGGGAUAUGAGUUCGGAGUCAGACAUUGCUUCAGAUAAUUCCAUAUUUGUAGGCGAUCUUGCCUCUGAUGUCAAUGAUGCUGCAUUCUGGAGACUUUCUCCAGCAGGUACUCCUCUGUCAAAGAUACAAAAGUUGUUAUUGAUGCUAACACUGGUAGAUCAAAGGGCUAUGGAUUUGUGCUUUAUCACGCAUCUGGACUUGUUUCCCUUCUUAAUUUGUUUGGGAGGGAGAUUCAUUCAGAAGUUCACACUUUGCAGUAUUUAUGUACAAAACUGUUUUUGCUCUGCAUUCAUUCCUUGCUGCUUUUAUGCACUACCUUUUUGGAAAAUGGGUUUGUAUGGGUGACAAGUGAGGUAGCUUCAUAUUUUUGAGAAUAUUAAUGAUUGGUCAAAAAAUUUGAGAACAUGUGAAUUGCUAUUAUCAAUGUUCUUUUGGCUAAAAAAUUCUACAGGAAUCAUUUAAUGUUGUUUGCGUAGAUGUGACUAUUUAUUUCUGUUUACUGGAAAAUUGUUGGCUUACAUACUUUUGGGUCUACUGGUUCAUCCUCUCGAUCAGAUGGAGAUAUGAACAAACACAACUGUGAGUACAGAUGCAUUGACUGUAACUUAUGCAAUGUACAUUGUUACAACUUUUCUUUUAUUAUUGUUGUUUAAUUGUCAUUAGGUAUUUAUCGGUUGGCUUGACCCAAAUGUUAGUGAAAAUAAUCUUAAGCAAACCUUCUCCCAGUUGUGAAGAUUGUAGUUGGGAAACAGUGCGGGUUCGUGCAGUUUGAUCAGAAGUAUGGAUUAUUAGCCAUGCACUUUUAUACUUUCCAGUUCCUCCCCACGUAAUUUUUUUUGUUUGGUUAAAUUGCCUCUGUCACCAUGAUGGAAUCCGAUCCAUUAUGGCCUUGUGUUGGUAGUUGCAGUUACACAAUGAUGGAUUGUGUUUACAUUUUUUUUAUGGAAACAGAGAAGCCGAUUAUUCUGUUUGCAAGACGGUUAUCCUAAAUUCUAAUUCAGACAUUAGUGAUGAUACAACAAUGUUCUCCACCAAAACUGUGAUUUCGGGCGAGCUUAGCUUAGGGUGGGACCACCGGAGAUCGUGUGGCGCACGGGAGACAGAAACUCCACCAGCUAUUGUGUUGUGCCCACCGACAGCAAUAACAAAGAUACUGAGGUCAUUGCCAGACAUGACUGCCCUGUUUGCAAUCUAUUGGGUAGUCCUAUUUGGUGGAUUGCAUCUAUAGUACGUUGAAAGCAGAUGUAACAUCAUUGAUUUUCACAUUAGAUGGCUCUUGAGUAUAUGUGAUCUUUCUCUACGAGGAGCCUACAAUUUGUAAUGUUGAAUUUCUUUUGAGACCUCCACAAGCUGUCUAUGAACCAUAUAUGCAGUAGGCAUUCCCACAUGUAUUUUUUUGUUUUUGAAAGGAAUGUUAAAAUUCGUAUGUUCAACUGUAAAUUUAAAUUUCCAGUCCUUUCAACAUGGUCAAGUUUA